CUACUACUAUCUCUUGCUUUCCUCUGCUUAUGCAACCGUAACUCCCGCGCCUCCUCAGUUCUUUGGGACCUUUCCAGACAGAGCUGCCAAUUUUACUGCAAUUUCUUAAACCCCUUUUGCUCUCUGCUAGUUAAAUUUAACUACGCCAUAUCGCGAUUCUUUUUGCUUUACUAUUUCCUCCUAGUCCCAACUCGCAAGCCUCUACCCCUCAUUUGUCUAUAGUCUAAUGAUUCUCACUUUCCCAACCAUUCACGCAUGAUCACCGUAGCAAAACUACCCCUUCACCCCCCAAGCCAAAUCUCAAGAACCCUUUGCACCCCAAGAUUUUCUGCCAAAGCUGUGCUGAGUUUCAACUUGGGAAUUAGAUCAACAAAACCCAGAAAAAAAGGAGGCUUCCUUAGGCUGAUUUGGGCAGAUUAUGAGAGUGGUACUUCGGGUGGGAUGGAACUCUUGAGGAAAUUAACAAGAGGUUGCUUUCCUGAUAGUCCAAAGAAGGGACAGAAGGUGGAAGUUGAAUCAGAUAAUGGUGGCGAGGAUUUUUUUGAUGCUGCAACUGCUGAAUCCAAGGUGCGGCCUCAACACCUUGUCAUAAUGGUCAAUGGCCUUGCUGGAAGUGCUGCAGAUUGGAGAUAUGCUGCUGAACAGUUUGUGAAAAGAGUUCCUGACAAAAUUAUUGUUCAUCGUAGUGAAUGCAAUACUUCAAAGCUGACUUUUGAUGGUGUUGAUUUGAUGGGGGAGAGAUUAGCUGAAGAGGUGGUCAAUGUUGUAAAAAAUUGGCCUGGCUUACACAAGAUCUCUUUUGUUGCCCACUCAUUGGGUGGCCUUAUUGCUAGAUAUGCCAUUGGAAGAUUAUUUGAACUUUCUGCUAGGAUUGGAAAUGCUGACCAAAAUGAGCCCUCUUCAGUAUUGGAAGCAAAUAAUUCUGCAAAACUCCAUGAACUAUGUUAUGAAGCAAGGAUUGCUGGACUGGAGCCUGUAAAUUUUAUAACAUUUGCAACUCCGCAUUUGGGUUCCAGAGGACAUAAGCAGCUCCCACUACUUUGCGGUCUUCCUUUCUUAGAGAGAAGUGCAUCUCAAACUGCACACUGGAUUGCAGGGAGAUCUGGUAAGCAUUUGUUCCUAACUGAUAACGACAAUGGAAAGCCUCCUCUCCUCCUUCGGAUGGUUGAAGACUCGGAUGACCUCAAAUUCAUGUCAGCUUUGCAAGCUUUCAAGCGUCGUGUGGCAUACGCAAAUGCAAACUAUGAUCAUAUUGUUGGCUGGAGAACAUCAUCAAUCAGACGCCAGGAUGAACUUCCAAAGGCUAAACUUCUUCUGAAAAAUGAGAAGUACCCUCACAUUGUUCACGUUGAUCAAGGAAGCAUGGAAGCCAAUAAUAGCAGAUCAUUGUCCAUGGUUGGAACAGAAGUAAUUGAUUUGGAAGAGGAGAUGAUUAGAGGCCUCACUCAAGUACCUUGGGAACGUAUUGAUGUUAGCUUUCAGAAAAGCACACAGCGAUAUGUUGCACACAAUACCAUUCAGCUAUUGAGUAAAAACUUCUAAAAGGAUGAAAGCUGUAAGUCAGAGGCAAAAGUUAGAUUUGGUUUGUUAUAUAGGUCAACCGGUAUUGGUUGAACUCGGAUGGGGCUGAUGUGGUUCAGCAUAUGAUAGAUAACUUCAUUGUCUAAACAAUUGACUCCUGGAUACUUCUUUUCCGUGUACAUUGAAGCCUUGCAAGUGUUUAUUCAAGUGAUGGGUUAGGUUGCUUAUCUCUGUUCGAUCGGCCGCAUUUUUACAUGCCCUCAGUCUGUUUUGUACAUAUUGUCUUGGACUGUGAAAUGUGGUUAAUUAGCAUCUCGGUCGUACAUUCGAUGCUCAGUCCUGGCUGCUGUUCGUGAACAAUUUUGCAUCUUCUCAUUACGGCCUAAGUUGCAGCUGAAAUAGAAGAUCUUCGCCUGGAGCCUUAAGGUUCUAGACAGAAGGGUAGAGAGUGGAGAGUUACUUUUCACUAGAUAUACAUGUGGUUAGCAGGCUGGGAAGCAUACAACUAGUCCCUUGUCCAGCUAGAUAGAAGAGAAGGGAGAAAAAAUGCAUGACGCCACAAGAAAAUUUUAAUUACAGAACUAUUGAAUUAGCGGCUGAGCAUCUUUGGAUGGUCAUUUUCGCUGCUAAAAGGAUGUGUGGACAAUUAUUUCCUCCAUCCGCCACAAGAACUAUUGCAAUUAGCAGCCGAGCAUCUUCGGAUGAUCAUUUUCGCUGCUAAAAAGGAUGUGUGGAAAAUUAUUAUCUCAUUACUUGUGGUAUUGCAUGAGCGUCCCUGUAUUUAUAUAACCUAAAUAUUGACCUAGUACGGAAGAGCUUCGUUUUUUACUGCUCUUUGUUUACAGAUGUCUCUUGUUUUCAUCCACUUGGUGGUUGUAGAGCUGCUAAUUGGCGUACUAGGCCACCGGUAAGAUUUGUAAAAGGACUUUGGAAAACCCUUUUCUUUUUUUCUUCUGUAACUAGGAGUUCUGCAUAUUUCUAUGAGCUGCAAACAGAAAGCUCUGCUGGGGCCUUCCAUCGUU